GCUGAAGUACACAGGAAAUGCCAGCGCCCUGUUUAUCCUCCCUGACCAGGGCAAGAUGCAGCAGGUGGAAGCCAGCUUGCAACCAGAGACCCUGAGGAGAUGGAAGGACUCUCUCAGGCCCAGCAUGAUAGAUGAGCUCUACCCGCCCAAGUUCUCCAUCUCUGCCGACUACAGCGUGGAGGAGGUCCUUCCAGAGCUGGGCAUCAAAGAAGUCUUCUCCACACAGGCUGACCUGUCUGGGAUCAC
rnacentral:lncRNA from 1 species